rnacentral:rRNA from 1 species
GCAACGAUCAGUAGCUGGUCUGAGAGGACGACCAGCCACACUGGGACUGAGACACGGCCCAGACUCCUACGGAGGGCAGCAGUGGGGAAUUUUGGACAAUGGGCGCAAGCCUGAUCCAGCUAUUCCGCGUGUGGGAUGACGGCCCUCGGGUUGUAAACCACUUUAGUAGAGAACGAAAAGGAGCUAUCGAAUAAAUAGCUCUGCUGACGGUACUCUAAGAAUAAGCACCGGCUAACUACGUGCCAGCAGCCGCGGUAAUACGUAGGGUGCGAGCGUUAAUCGGAAUUACUGGGCGUAAAGGGUGUGCAGGCGGCUGAGUAAGACAGAUGUGAAAUCCCCGGGCUUAACCUGGGAACCGCAUAUGUGACUGCUUGGCUAGAGUGCGUCAGAGGGAGGUGGAAUUCCACGUGUAGCAGUGAAAUGCGUAGAUAUGUGGAAGAACACCGAUGGCGAAGGCAGCCUCCUGGGACGCAACUGACGCUCAUACACGAAAGCGUGGGGAGCAAACAGGAUUAGAUACCCUGGUAGUCCACGCCCUAAACGAUGUCAACUAGUUGUUGGGGAUUAAA